rnacentral:rRNA from 1 species
GACGAACGCUGGCGGCGUGGAUUAGGCAUGCAAGUCGAACGGUAUCAUCCUUUCGGGGGUGAGAGAGUGGCGAACUGGUGAGUAACACGUAGGUUAUCUACCCUCAAGACGGGGACAACCCAGGGAAACUUGGGCUAAUACCGGAUGUGAGCAACUUUUAGUUGUUUGAAAGGUGGCGUAAGCUGUCGCUUGGGGAUGAGCCUGCGUCCUAUUAGUUAGUUGGUGAGGUAACGGCUCACCUAGGCAAUGAUAGGUAGGCGGCCUUAACGGGUGGUCGCCCACACUGGGAUUGAGAUACGGCCCAGACUCCUACGGGAGGCAGCAGUCGAGAAUAGUCUACAAUGGUCGGAAGACUGAUAGUGCGACGCCGCGUGAACGAUGAAUCCCUUCGGGGUGUAAAGUUCUUUUAUAUGUGAGCAGUGCUUCUUAUAUUAACAGUAUGGGGAGAGAGAUAUUAGCAUAUGAAUAAGCAACGGCUAACUCCGUGCCAGCAGCCCGGUAAU